GACGAACGCUGGCGGCGUGCUUAACACAUGCAAGUCGAACGGAAAGACCCUGCUUUUGUUGGUUUCUCGAUUGGCGAGCGGGUGAGUAACACGUGAGUAACCUGCCCUUGACUUUGUGAUAUCUUCAGGAAACUGCGGCUAAUACCGGAUAUGAUCUCCUGCUCCAUGUUGUUGAUUGGAAAGUUUCGGCGGUUCGGGAUGUACUCGCGGCUUCUCCGCUUCUUUGUGGGGUAGUGGCUUACCAAGCCUUUGACGGGUAGCCCGCCUGAGAGGCUUACCGGCGACAUGGGGACUGAGAUACGGCGCAGACGGGUAAGGGAGGCAGCAGGGGGGAAUAUUGCAAAAUGGGCGGAAGCGUGAUGCAGAAACGCCGCGAGCGGGAAGACGGCCUUCGGGGGGUAAACCGAUUUCGCAUGUGACGAAGAGGGAGUGACGGUAAUGGGUAAAGAAGCACCGGCUAACUACGUG
rnacentral:rRNA from 1 species